GACGAACGCUGGCGGCGUGCUUAACACAUGCAAGUCGAGCGGAAAGGCCCUUUCGGGGGUACUCGAGCGGCGAACGGGUGAGUAACACGUGAGUAAUCUGCCCUUCACUUUGGGAUACCCCCCGGAAACGGGAGCUAAUACCGGAUAUGACCGGCAACCGCAUGGUUGUUGGUGGAAACUUUUUUUGGGUGGGGGAUGUGCUCGCGGCCUAUCAGCUUGUUGGUGGGGUAAUGGCCUACCAAGGCUUUGACGGGUAGCCGGCCUGAGAGGGUGACCGGCCACACUGGGACUGAGACACGGCCCAGACUCCUACGGGAGGCAGCAGUGGGGAAUAUUGGACAAUGGGCGGAAGCCUGAUCCAGCAACGCCGCGUGAGGGAUGACGGCCUUCGGGUUGUAGACCUCUUUCAGCACCGACGAAGCGUGAGUGACGGUAGGUGCAGAAGAAGGACCGGCCAACUACGUGCCAGCCGCCGCUGUAAGAC
rnacentral:rRNA from 1 species